rnacentral:rRNA from 1 species
GACGAACGCUGGCGGCGUGCUUAACACAUGCAAGUCGAACGGAAAGGCCCUGCUUUUGUGGGGUGCUCGAGUGGCGAACGGGUGAGUAACACGUGAGUAACCUGCCCUUGACUUUGGGAUAACUUCAGGAAACUGGGGCUAAUACCGGAUAGGAGCUCCUGCUGCAUGGUGGGGGUUGGAAAGUUUCGGCGGUUGGGGAUGGACUCGCGGCUUAUCAGCUUGUUGGUGGGGUAGUGGCUUACGAAGGCUUUGACGGGUAGCCGGCCUGAGAGGGUGACCGGCCACAAUGGGACUGAGAUACGGCCCAGACUCCUACGGGAGGCAGCAGUGGAGAAUAUUGCACAAUGGGCGGGAGCCUGAUGCAGCAACGCCGCGUGCGGGAUGACGGCCUUCGGGUUGUAAACCGCUUUCGCCUGUGACGAAGCGUGAGUGACGGUAAUGGGUAAAGAAGCACCGGCUAACUACGUG